rnacentral:lncRNA from 1 species
CACAAGUUCAACCAAAACACAUACAUACUGCAAGGCAUCUCAGAAUGCAAUGUGCCUUGCUUAUGCCACCUAAUGUUACUCUUAAAAGGUGUAUGGUGUUAAAUCCAUCUACAUUGCUUCCACUGGAUUUAAAAGAGGGGAGUGGGGAUAGUGGGAAUGGUACUUGUACUUCUGAUCUUUUUGUAAAUUCACUUUCACCAGAUGAGUUAGCUGAUGCCCAGGUACCCCAUGAUUGUACAGCACUAAUGGCACAAGAAACAGC